GAUGAACGCUGACAGAAUGCUUAACACAUGCAAGUCAACUUGAACUUCGGUUUGGGUGGCGGACGGGUGAGAAACGCGUAAAGAACUUGCCUCACAGUUAGGGACAACAUUUGGAAACGAAUGCUAAUACCUGAUAUUAUGAUUUUAGGGCAUCCUAGAAUUAUGAAAGCUAUAUGCGCUGUGAGAGAGCUUUGCGUCCCAUUAGCUAGUUGGAGAGGUAACGGCUCACCAAGGCGAUGAUGGGUAGCCGGCCUGAGAGGGUGAACGGCCACAAGGGGACUGAGACACGGCCCUUACUCCUACGGGAGGCAGCAGUGGGGAAUAUUGGACAAUGGACCAAGAGUCUGAUCCAGCAAUUCUGUGUGCACGAUGAAGUUUUUCGGAAUGUAAAGUGCUUUCAGUUGGGAAGAAAAAAAUGACGAUACCAACAGAAGAAGUGACGGCUAAAUACGUG
rnacentral:rRNA from 1 species